AGGACGAACGCUGGCGGCGUGCGUAACACAUGCAAGUCGAGCGGUAAGGCCCUUUCGGGGGUACACGAGCGGCGAACGGGUGAGUAACACGUGGGUGACCUGCCCUUAGCUCUGGGAUAAGCCUGGGAAACUGGGUCUAAUACCGGAUAUGACUCCACGGUGCAUGUCGUGGGGUGGAAAGCCUUGUGCGGCUGAGGAUGGGCCCGCGGCCUAUCAGCUUGUUGGUGGGGUGAUUGCCUACCAAGGCGACGACGGGUAGCCGGCCUGAGAGGGCGACCGGCCACACUGGGACUGAGACACGGCCCAGACUCCUACGGGAGGCAGCAGUGGGGAAUCUUGCGCAAUGGGCGAAAGCCUGACGCAGCGACGCCGCGUGAGGGAUGACGGCCUUCGGUUGUAACCUCUUUCAGCUCCGACGAAGCGAGAGUGACGGUAGGAGCGAGAAGAAGCACCGGCCAACUACGUGCCAGCAGCCGC
rnacentral:rRNA from 1 species